AGUGAACGCUGGCGGUAGGCCUAACACAUGCAAGUCGAACGGCAGCACAGUAAGAGCUUGCUCUUACGGGUGGCGAGUGGCGGACGGGUGCGGAAUACAUCGGAAUCUACUUUUUCGUGGGGGAUAACGUAGGGAAACUUACGCUAAUACCGCAUACGACCUACGGGUGAAAGCAGGGGAUCUUCGGACCUUGCGCGAUUGAAUGAGCCGAUGUCGGAUUAGCUAGUUGGCGGGGUAAAGGCCCACCAAGGCGACGAUCCGUAGCUGGUCUGAGAGGAUGAUCAGCCACACUGGAACUGAGACACGGUCCAGACUCCUACGGGAGGCAGCAGUGGGGAAUAUUGGACAAUGGGCGCAAGCCUGAUCCAGCCAUGCCGCGUGGGUGAAGAAGGCCUUCGGGUUGUAAAGCCCUUUUGUUGGGAAAGAAAAGCAGCAGGUUAAUACCCCGCUGUUCUGACGGUACCCAAAGAAUAAGCACCGGCUAACUUCGUG
rnacentral:rRNA from 1 species